GACGAACGCGGGCGGCGUGCUAAUACAUGCAAGUAGAACGCUGAAGGAGGAGCUUGCUUCUCUGGAUGAGUUGCGAACGGGUGAGUAACGCGUAGGUAACCUGCCUGGUAGCGGGGGAUAACUAUUGGAAACGAUAGCUAAUACCGCAUAAGAGUAGAUGUUGCAUGACAUUUGCUUAAAAGGUGCAAUUGCAUCACUACCAGAUGGACCUGCGUUGUAUUAGCUAGUUGGUGGGGUAACGGCUCACCAAGGCGACGAUACAUAGCCGACCUGAGAGGGUGAUCGGCCACACUGGGACUGAGACACGGCCCAGACUCCUACGGGAGGCAGCAGUAGGGAAUCUUCGGCAAUGGACGGAAGUCUGACCGAGCAACGCCGCGUGAGUGAAGAAGGUUUUCGGAUCGUAAAGCUCUGUUGUAAGAGAAGAACGAGUGUGAGAGUGGAAAGUUCACACUGUGACGGUAUCUUACCAGAAAGGGACGGCUAACUACGUGCCAGCAGCCGCGGUAAUACGUAGGUGGCAAGCGUUAUCCGGAUUUAUUGGGCGUAAAGAGAGUGCAGGCGGUUUUCUAAGUCUGAUGUGAAAGCCUUCGGCUUAACCGGAGAAGUGCAUCGGAAACUGGAUAACUUGAGCGCAGAAGAGGGUAGUGGAACUCCAUGUGUAGCGGUGGAAUGCGUAGAUAUAUGGAAGAACACCAGUGGCGAAGGCGGCUACCUGGUCUGCAACUGACGCUGAGACUCGAAAGCAUGGGUAGCGAACAGG
rnacentral:rRNA from 1 species